rnacentral:rRNA from 1 species
GACGAACGCUGGCGGCGUGCCUAAUACAUGCAAGUCGAACGCAGUGGGGACGGGUGAGUAACACGUGGGUAACCUCCCAUCAGAGGGGAUAACACUUGGCAACAGGUGCUAAACCGAUACUGAUGGAGAGACUCGCGGUGCAUUAGCUUGUUGGUGGGGUAACGGCUCACCAAGGCCACGAUGCAUAGCCGACCUGAGAGGUGGACCGGCCACACUGGGACUGAGACACGGGCCAGACUCCUACGGGAGGCAGCAGUAGGGAAUCUUCGGCAAUGGACGAAAGUCUGACCGAGCAACGCCGCGUGAGUGAAGAAGGUUUUCGGAUUGUAAAACACUGUUGGUAGAGAGGCGGUAUCUAACCAGAAAGCAACGGCUAACUACGUGCCAGCAGCCGCGGUAAUUC